rnacentral:rRNA from 1 species
CCUACGGGAGGCAGCAGUGGGGAAUAUUGCACAAUGGGGGAAACCCUGAUGCAGCAACGCCGCGUGAGUGAAGAAGUAUUUCGGUAUGUAAAGCUCUAUCAGCAGGGAAGAUAAUGACGGUACCUGACUAAGAAGCUCCGGCUAAAUACGUGCCAGCAGCCGCGGUAAUU